rnacentral:rRNA from 1 species
CACUUUUAGUUGCCAUCAUUAAGUUGGGCACUCUGAAAGAACUGCCAGUGAUAAGCUGGAGGAAGGUGGGGAUGACGUCAAGUCCUCAUGGCCCUUACGUGUUGGGCUACACACGUGCUACAAUGGCAUCUACAACAGGAAGCAAAACGGCAACGUUAAGCAAAUCCCGAAAAGAUGCCUCAGUUCGGAUUGCACUCUGCAACUCGAGUGCAUGAAGCUGGAAUUACUAGUAAUCGUGGAUCAGCGUGCCACGGUGAAUGCGUUC